rnacentral:rRNA from 1 species
AUGAAUGUCAUAAGUUGGAACUGUCGGGGAGGGGGGAAUACCCGGACAGUUCGUGAGCUGGCGACAAUCUCACAGUCGCAUUCCCCCAACUUGGUCUUUUUGUGUGAGACGAGGCAAAAAGCAGAUAAGAUGAGGAGGAUCUGUCGUCGGAUUGGACUGAAGGGUUUUACGGGUGUUGAUAGUAAUGGUUUGAGUGGUGGACUUGCUUUGUUUUGGCAU